rnacentral:rRNA from 1 species
UACGUAGGGCGCAAGCGUUGUCCGGAAUUAUUGGGCGUAAAGAGCUCGUAGGCGGUCUGUUGCGUCCGCUGUGAAAACCCGGGGCUCAACUCCGGGCCUGCAGUCGAUACGGGCUGGCUUGAGUGCGGUAGGGGAGACUGGAAUUCCUGGUGUAGCGGUGAAAUGCGCAGAUAUCAGGAGGAACACCGGUGGCGAAGGCGGGUCUCUGGGCCUGCACUGACGCUCAUGCACGAAAGCGUGGGGAGCAAACAGG